GGAUAUUGAGAGCUUUAUGACAGGAACAAGAUCCUUAAAAGCAGCAAUUGUGAAUCCUUUCCAAGAAUCUGGACACCAUCCUCCAAAAAUGUAUAUAAAUUCUCCGAUCACAAGAAACCACGAAGACAUCGAGAGUGCAAUCAUGCCACCCGAGACUCCCAUGUUCAGCUUAUACACAAAAAGUACUGACAAAAGUAUAUGGAUGACGAAUUGAAAAGACGAGAGCCAGGCAAUAAUCAUGUUCUUUAACUGUGCUUGCAGAUACAUUUGUAUAGUCAGGCUAAAAACAUAGUUAUACACAAAAGGGAUGAACCAAAAAGAUAUGUAUCCACCACUGUUUGCUAUCGAUUCAUCCUCACCCACGAGCUUGAAGAUUUGGGUACCAAAGAUCAAGAUCGGAAGCAAAAGGGUCAAGGUAAUCAAGUCAACGAUCCAUGAUCGUUGCAAGUGAAUGCCCAUCAUGUGGUGUUGCCCGGCUCCAAAUGAUUGUCCACAAAGGGUUUCGGUUGCACUAGACAUUCCUAACUGUCGAUAAAAAUGAAACACAAGGAAAAGUAUUCCCAUGAUAAAUCGGACGCUAAGUGUUUGAACAAGUGCAUAGCCGGCAAGAUCUAUCUCACUGACAUGGCCAAUAAAUGACUGGGUGACAACGAUAGUACCGAAUGCAGAGACCCUUGAAAUGAUGCUUGGCAUUGCAACCCUCCAUAUCAUUUUUGACUCGUUCCAUAUCCUUAGUGUUAGGUCACCUUCCUCUUCUUCUUCAUGUCGAAGAAGCUUUGUCUCCAUCCCAUCA
rnacentral:lncRNA from 1 species